UUCGCCCUUCUAGGCAUAUGAUCGAUCAAGGGUUCCUUUGGUUUGAGCUCAAGUAGUGGCGGCUUCAACUAGGGUUCUAUUGCAGAACCGAUCUGAUUUGAAUACCGGCGGCUAAGAGGUGUUUGAUGAUCCUAUGAAAAAUUUAGCAAACCAGGGAAGAAAAGAAGAUUUGAAAAUUCACAAUAGAUAGCAUUAACCAUUUUCAUAAGUCGGCAUAACAGAAGAAAAGUGGAGAUAGUUAUAUCUGGAGCUUCUAACCAUAAGAUUUAUCAUUACUAUUUAGGGAGUGGGAGCUACAUGGCCUAUGAGAAGCACAUGGAAUACACGGAGAGAAUUACAUCCAACUAUCAGGAUGGCGAUACUAAAAGAUGUUUGCUCUGUUUGUGUAAGGUAACCCAAAUCUAUUGCUCAUGUUGAGUUGAGUUCGAGAUCUUUUCAAGUUGUGGUCAUGUUGAGACGAAUGAUGGAUGUAAUGGGUGACAAAUAAAAAGCAUAAAAGAUAGACCGAUUUCAGGGGCGUUGACCGAAGAUGAGUUGAAACAGUUUUCGGGUUUGUCUUGUACACCACCAAGGAAGUCACCUGGCAAAAGCCCUAAUGAUAUGCCAAUAAAUGGUAGUGUUGGUAGCUACUGGAGCCACACGAGCUCAGCACAAUUUUCGAGCCCAUGUUCAUCGUAUAAAGGCAUACCGAAUGCCACCAGCAAGUACAGAGAGGCUUCAGCAAAGAGAUUCAUAGUAACAGGAACAGGGAAGAUUGUGAGGAGGAGAACUGGGAAACAACAUUUGCUUAGAAAGAAAAAUGCUAAGAGAACACGUCUCUUAAAACGGUUCAAGUCGACCGCAGUGACUACAACGAUGUCAUAGGGGCAUUGCCCUAUCUGAAGGUUUACCGGGCCAAUUAGUCCGGACCGUUAAACCGUUUUGACUCAGCUUGCAAGCUGUGUACAGAGCUAAUAGGUUUGUUGUAUUUAUGGUUAAGUGUUUUUACUCCUUUGCCUUGUUCAUGUAAUUCAUAGCCACCGCAGAUACAAAAUUUAUUAUGUAA